UCCAGUCUUCGGUGACACAUGAUGCUUCAGAAAUCUUUCUAGUAUGCCUUAAUCAAAAACAUUAUAUUAUUAUCAAAUUACAUUUGUGCUGUCUAUUAUUUCUGUGGAAACGGUGAUAAAAGAAAGCUCAAAUGAUCAGCAUUUAUUUGAUAUAUAUCACACACACACAUAUAUAUAUAUAUAUAAUUUUAUUUAUAGUGCUCCUUCCUUCCUCAAACUCAAAGCGCUACCACAUUUGCACAAAUGAGAUAAAUCUACAAAGUAAAAAAUACAUUAUAUCAAAAAAUACAUUUUACUAUCACUUUUGAUCAGUUUAAGGCAUCCUUUGUGGAUUCAAAAAAAAAAAUAUUUCUUUCUUUUAAAAAAAAAAUUUAGAAAAUGGCUCAUCUUUUCUCCAUACUGUCUCUGAAGAUCAGAUUCAGGUCCCUGGUUUGAUUAAUUUGAUUGAUUCAUUCUUAGUGAUUCUCCCUGCUGUCUGCUUCUUUUAUUAACUUGCAAAGCAUCAAGUUUUGCUCGAGUGCCACAUUUACCACCAUAACAAGACUGGCUUUCUAAAUGUUGGGCCAGAAACACUUGCACCAAAGGUCGUGAAGGUCGCUGUGGGUCUUCUCCAGUUCAGUUUAAGUGCAGGGCUUUGGGCCAUGUGCAGGUCAGGGUGACUGAUAAGUAUCUGUUUGAAGACGUUCACCUUGUUUCCCAGGUAUGUUAGCAGGCCACCACCAGGCUGUAUUUCAUCAUGCUCUUUGAUCGCUGGCGCCACCUGAGGGUACAGAGAUCAAACAACAGAUAAGAGAUAGACACUGCACACAGCCCAAACACACCAGACUAUCAUACAUGCUUCAAAACAAACAUGUGGUAGGAGCAGGGAUAAUGACAGAUUGGCCAGUUGGAGCACUAGUACACCUCCAUUGUAUAUUUGAUGAUCUUUGGGCCAUAAAACUAUAAAUACAAAAAAGCAACAGGCUGUCAAAUGGCCUUAAAAUUGUGUGUGUGUGUGUGUGUGUGUGUGUGUGUGUGUGUGUGUGUGUGUGUGUGUGUGCAUUAAUCACAUUUAACAUAUUUAUUGUAGCCAAACCAAAGCCAAAGAGUAAGCAGCAUAAGGUCUGUCCCACGUCGCAGCAUAUCCUCGCCAAAACGUCUCUUACUGACAUGUCAAAUUACCUUUAUGUGGCAUUUAGGGGAGAAUGUAUCUUCAUUCAACGCCAGAAAAUAAGCGACUUCUCUGAAUUGAUUGUUGAAAUGAAAAAUAGUGGCGAUGCUUUCAUUUUACUUUACUUUCAUUUUCUUUCUUCAAAAUAUUUAUUUUUGCACAGAAUUAUACCAUUACAAUGAUAUACAAAAUUAUAUAGAAUUAAUUGAACAAAUUGUAUUUACUUUUAUUUAUAUAAAAGUGAAUUCUUACCUCAACAUGUGUCAUAUUUUACUUAAAGUUGAAAGGAAAAUCAAACACAAAUGACAUUUUAUUUAUUAAUGUAGGUAGGUAGGUAAAAUCUGACCAUGGCAUGUGCUUAACAGGAUAACUCAUCAUUUUAACUGAUAAUUUACAUAAAUAUGCAUAUGUAGCUACAAGCCAGGAUGAAAGGAAUCAAAUCUAAAUGAGAUAAUCCAUCAAAACCAAUCCAAAACAAGAAAUAGUUGGCACAGUUCAACACAGAGAGGUAACAGAAGGUUUUUAAGUUUUUAACUUCUUACAAAAUAAAUCCCAAAUCCUGAACUUUGUUUUUCUGCCGACUGCUCCACAGACAUUGAUUGUUUACUAAACACUUCCGUUCCCAGACUAAACCACUAAAUCAAACCGCUUUGUUGUCAGAGAUCUGAAGAUUUGAGUUUGUUUUAUUCCAGUGAUUGAUGUGCCGAAGACAAAUCUGUGUGGGAGUAGUUUCUGACGCUGCAGUGAACCACACUGCCCUCUGUUGACCGUUGGUUAAUACUAUGGAGAAAGAAAGUUUAUGGAAAGCCAUAAUGAUACACACUCAGCCUCAUUAUCUGCCUCCAUCCCAAACAACUGAUAUGAGUCACCAGUCGCCUAACGGAGGAACCAUCUGAUCACUUCUAACCUCCUCACACACAGGUUUUCUGCUUAAACUUUCUGCAUUCACUCUGCUACUGAGACCAAGAAUCCAUGGAAGAAAAUAAAAGAGAAAGAAACAAUUGUUAGAAUGUUAAUGUCAGACUUCAGCGUGUAAUUGCCUUGGCAUUUAAAUAGGAAGGGAUCCUCUGGAAUUACUGAAAUGUUCCUGGUGCCAUUCUCUAGGAACACAGCAACUUUUAAAAUGAAAUAAUGGCACCAAGAAGACCACCUAAACAAGAGCAAUUCAAGCAACAAUUAAAUUCAAGUUUAUCUGUAUAGCACUUUAUACGAUACAAAUUGUUGAAAAGCAACUUUACAGAAAAUUACGUUUUUACAAUAUUUGUAGUAUUAUCAACAGUUAACAUAUAUUUGUAGAUGAGUGAUAUAAUUAAAGAUUAAUUAUAUUCUAGUCUUUUUAGACAAACGUGGAAACUGUGGGAGUCUGCACUGUGGCUGUUCCAGAACAGAACAAGACUUGCUUGACAAAUGUUUGACACUUUUGAAAAACGCCUUUGGCCAAUGUGAUUUGUUUUAACUUGCUAAGCAUCUAUACAAAUUAAUUUACCAUUGUCAUUUUGCUUAUGAAAAGGACAUAUAACAAGGACUAUAUUCAGUUACUACAGAGCACAACAUAAUUUUCCUUCCACAAAGGAAACUUACAAACAUCUGUUGGGUGUACAAUAUAACCAAAGCCACAUGUGCAAGGAAAACAAGGCUUCCUUUUUACUAGAUGCUAAGCAGGACAUACAGGAAGACAAAAAUCAAUUGGCUUAAAUGCAUCUAUUGAUUUUUCAGUGCAGUG